rnacentral:rRNA from 1 species
AGGAUGAACGCUAGCGGCAGGCCUAAUACAUGCAAGUCGGACGGGAUUGGAGAGCUUGCUUUCCAUGAGAGUGGCGCACGGGUGCGUAACACGUAUGUAACCUACCUUCGUCAGGGGGAUAGCCUCUCGAAAGAGAGAUUAAGACCGCAUAAAAUCACAAUGUGGCAUCACAAAAUGAUCAAAUAUUUAUAGGACGAAGAUGGGCAUGCGGAACAUUAGCUAGUUGGUAAGGUAACGGCUUACCAAGGCUACGAUGUUUA